UUAGAUAGAAAACGUAAAAGGGUGUACAGAGUAAAAAAAGGGAGGUCGGGAGGUACCAACUCCCGAUGGAAAAACCUGGAAGUAUGCCUUGAUUCGCCCGAUAUCAACUACCGCUAGCUCUUGCACACUUCGUCCGGUGUUGCUUUGCUCUUCGUGUCCAAAUGUCGUAAGCUCUCCUUGUCCGCCGCGGCUUGUACCUGAAAAAAAAAAAAGGCUGCGUAG
rnacentral:lncRNA from 1 species